rnacentral:rRNA from 1 species
UACGUAGGUGGCAAGCGUUGUCCGGAUUUACUGGGCGUAAAGAGCACGCAGGCGGUCGGCCAAGUCGAGUGUGAAAGCCCCGGCUCAACUGGGGAGGGUCACUCGAUACUGGUCGACUCGAAGGCGGGAGAGGGAAGUGGAAUUCCCGGUGUAGUGGUGAAAUGCGUAGAUAUCGGGAGGAACACCAGUGGCGAAGGCGACUUCCUGGCCCGUUCUUGACGCUCAUGUGCGAAAGCUAGGGGAGCAAACGGG